AUGUGUAUGGCCACCGGGAAGUGGUCGCAAGAGCGACCAGCAGAGGCGCCCUCGCGGCGGCCGGCGGCGGAAUGCAGUGGUGCUACGCGGUGCGCUCCUGUUGGUGACACCCUGCCUUCUCCCCGCCGGACGGCUGUUGGUCUGCACCGCACAGAGAAGAGUGGAGGGCUUGCGAUGGAGAAUGACGAGGAGGGUUGCGCACCCCCAACCGCCGAUGUCGCAGACUUUGAGGUCGCUGCCCACGGGAAAAACAGCAUGCCCAAGAUCCCCGACGCAGCGGACGAAAUCGAGGUCCUUUGCACAGCGAAGCACAGCUGGGAGGAGCGGCAGCUGCAGACCACGCAUCUCCCGCACACGCCGAUGCGCUAG
rnacentral:rRNA from 1 species